UUUGAAAUUUAUAUUUUAGUAAAAAAGCUAAAAUUAUCUAUAGGGACGAGAAGACCCUAUCAAGUUUUACAAUCCAAAAUUUAUUUUCAAAUUAAAUUUAAAAUUGUUUUGCUGGGGCAGCAGAUAAAAAUUUUUUAUUUUAAAAUUAUGAUAAAUAAAUCUUGAAAAAUCAAAAAAUUUUUAAUUAAAAAUAAAUUACUGUAGGGAUAACAGCAUAAUUUUUUUAGAGAGUUCUUAUCAUCAAAAAAGUUUGGAACCUCGAGGUGGGAUUAAAAUUCCUAAUUCGGGCAAAAUGGAAAUAA
rnacentral:rRNA from 1 species